AAACGCACCUCUAACCCGGUAAAAUUAUCACCAAAUCCCCAAAAAACGAUUCUAAUCAUAUUCCAAGCCAAAACCCUUCCCCAAAAUCAUAUCUCCCUUCAUUCAUUUACAAGAAAAUCUCAAUCCAUAAUCAUCAUUUUGAUCUUCCACACAUUAUCCGCAAAAAUGUAAUCACCAGAAUAUCACCCAAAUCAACCAUUUGAUUUGUACUUUCAGUUGUUACUAUAAAACCCCAAUCUACGUAGAAAAUAUCAAAAUCUCCUUGUUAAAAUGUAUACCAUGGCUGCUGAUACAAACACAUCUUCAUUGGGAUAUGUAUGGCUUGUGAGAAAUGUCAAAGAGACUCCAGUCGCAGCCGACCAGCAAUGACGUUUGUCCAUGGUUAACAUCAAGACCCAGCAAGCAGGCGAAUACUCCAAGUCCUGUGAGAUUAUCGAACCCAAGAACGAAACGAUUAAUACCCCUACUCGUCGCAUUACCCAUUCUAUUUACAUAUCCUCACAGUCGAAAGAUUUCGCCAGUGGUCCAUCUGCUACAAGGGUCGUGAACACCAACUCCUAAAAUUUGGGAAAGUUUAUCCAAAUGAAGGACAGUGAUAAGAGGCUCAUUGAAGACGCACUUGCAAAUCCAAGCAACACAAAGAAAAAGUUUGGAGCCCCACACAAACACAGGUAUUUUUUUGGUGUCUUAACAAAUAUUUUGGACCCUUAUACCAGUUACGAUAGCAAAUAUUUAUGAUUAUCAAUUUAUACAUGAUUUCAUUCAAGUGAAUAGAUAGAGGGGUGUGAUUGUCGAAACCUGACUUCUUGAUUUCUUGUGUAAUUGAAUACCCCAUUAUAUUUAUGAUUGAUGCCUAGGAUAUGGUCAUUUAUUGCACAAAUAUUAUUGCUUAUGAUUUUCACUUAGAAUAAUGAAAUUCCUAAGUUGUAUACGAACACACAACGAAGUAGAGUGUUAAGCUGUUAUAAUGAGUCUCAUAUAUUAUGUUGUAGUAAUUAGUUUAAGAAGUAAUUAUUUUCAGUCAUGUGCAAUAAAAGUCCAAUAUAUAAAUAAUUUUCAUGAAAUUUUGAUCACUGUAUUACGUUUUUCUCAUGGGAUUUUAUUAUUGAAUUGUAUGGAUUUAUUGUUUUGCUUUGGAUCAAUGCUUUAUGAUGCACAUGUUUUCAUAUAUGAACGAGGGGUGAAUAGAGUAUUUCAGUCAAAUGCAUAAUAUUUUCAAUACGGAUGAAGUACAUUCGGAUACAACACCAAACAACACAUAUACAUGCCUCAAUUUGUGAUAUGUCAAUGAUGGAAAUAAAAUCAUUCAAAUUUGGAAUUUGUUUUGAAAUAUCAGAACAUAGAAUGUGUGAAUCAUUGCACCAAUUUAUAUGCACAUCAAUCUCCUUUGUAGGGUUCAAUCUAUACUCCGUUGGUAUAUUUGGCAAGAUCUCUACCACUCUUACAUGUAAUGCAUAGACCGUCAUGCAUGCAUCUCUACGCUUAAGCUCCAAAUAGAAAUGUAGAGAGCCGUAAUUUUUUAUUCGGAUAGGGGACAUAUCUACAUCAGCAAUGUACUCAAUCUUCGAGAUUAUUAUAUUUGGAAAUAUUAUAUUUUAAGAAAUAGGUAGAUUCGAGAUUAUUUUACAUUUAAUCAAGUAUUUUUGGUUUUGUAAACGUAACAUAGUAAAUGAUGAAAUAAUUUUCAGUAAUGAUACAAUUACCAAAAUUUCCCAGGGCUAAAUUUUUGCUACAAACUGGAAGUCCAAUUUACAUUUUGGGUGGGCUUUUGAAGUUCGGUCACAGUCCAGAAAGGCCAACUUGAAAAAGAUGAUCAUUGCUUGUCACUUUGUUUGCUGAAAAUGGUAAGAAGCACCAAAUAAAUAUGGGAAAAGCUCAUAUGUCAUCAUCUGGGUGCAUGAACAGGAGAGGCAUGAAAGAUAAGUGCAGUCAAUGGAGAUUAUAAUUAGGCUUUUGUGGUGCUUAAGAAGUUUCUUGAUCUUUAAUUAUCAACAAUCUUGACUUUACCAACAUUAUUGCCACUUGCCGAAUGCACCAAUAAUUGGCCAAACAUGGUCUUUUACCUUAAUUCAAUUCUAAGCACUCAAAAUUUUAAACUUAUUAUUAAG
rnacentral:lncRNA from 1 species